UCUUUAUUAAAUUUUCGUUUUAUAACUACACAGAAAUGAAUAGCAUACGGAAUAAUUAAACGACUGUACAAACGCGCGAAAACAAUUUCAAGUUUGCGUUGCUGUAUUCAUAUUCAUAACAUAUUCAUAAGCAACAUGAUGGGACGCAUUCACGCAUCGCGAGAUCUGGAAUGAAGUUGCGCGCGGAACUCCCGCCCCCGUUGCUCUCAUGAUUGCUCUCGCGUUCAAGCGCGCGCACGUUUCCGAAACUUAAAUGUCUGGAUCAAGAAUGAAAUGCAAACUUGGCCCGAUUCAGCCGGGUCCCCUGGAUCGCGCCGCUAACUUCAAUCCGCGGCCUAUUUGCGGACAGCUUCGAGUCACGAGACAUGUGUCUCUAGAAUAAAUUAAAAAA